CCUCGGUAAGACAUUAAAUCAAUCAAAUUGAACACAAACUGCUAAGAUGCCAACUCAAAGAUUAGAUUUCCAAAACAGCGUCAUAGAAUUAAGAAAGUGGGAAAAUGUCUUCUUCCAGGAGCCAUCCGGUAAAGUGAAAACUGCCACCGCCGCGUAGAUAUACACCUGGUCCCUGUUCCACAAUCUUUAACGAAAUUGUGUCUCCCUUUCUUAAAUCAAGCGUU